GACGAACGCUGGCGGCGUGCCUAAUACAUGCAAGUCGCGCGAUCAUUGUCUUCGGACAGUGGGAGCGGCGGACGGGUGAGUAACACGUGGGUAACCUGCCGGAUACACUGGGAUAACGCUUGGAAACGAGUGCUAAUACCGGAUAGGCUCCAAGGUCGCAUGAUCUGGGAGGGAAAGGCGCGUAUGCGCCAGUAUCCGAUGGACCCGCGGCGCAUUAGCUAGUUGGUGGGGUAACGGCCUACCAAGGCGACGAUGCGUAGCCGACCUGAGAGGGUGA
rnacentral:rRNA from 1 species